rnacentral:lncRNA from 1 species
AAAUGUUUACCCAGUAACAGUAUAAUCUGUGAGGUACCAACUCUGAAGGUCAAUCUCGUGUCUUUAAGCACCUUUUUCACACAGUCUGGAGGAAUUGAUCUAACAAUCUAGAACCAGAUAGUGGGACUAAUGAAAACAUAUCUUUAACUGUUUUCAUUUGCUUAUUUAUUGAGUGUAUUCAUUCUAUUGCUCAAUGCGGCCUAGAACAGUUUUGUGUGUUCCGCCCAGACAUGUUUGCUGGUGCCGUGGGGAGACGCAUGCAGAAGAGGGUGAAAGUGUGGGAGGAGCCUUAGGUUUCCGGCCGUUCCUUUGGUAUAUUUCACAUUCUAACCCACUCCUUCUUGUGUGUGCAUCCAGCAAGACCGCAAUGGCCUUCGCAGGUGCGGUGAAAGAUGUUAAAGCUGCUGCAGCCAAGGUGGAGAGCAAAGGCGCUGAGGAGCUGAAGAAGGCCUUCUCCAUCCUCGACGAGGACAAGAGCGGGUUCAUUGAGGAGGAAGAGUUGAAGCUGUUCCUGAAGGAGUUUGGAACAACUGCCGAGACCACGGUCCAGGCCGGCGACAGCAACGUUGACGGCAAGAUCAGCGCGGACGUGUGACCAAGGAAAUGAGCUCUGAUGGAACAACACAGCCCACGUCCACCGCCCUUUACAUCUGAAAUGUAACUGAUUUUUAUACAUUGGCUUAAGAGACAUGCGACAGCCCCUUUUUGCGUCCUGAGUGGGCGGCCCUUGAGUUUUUCCCCAUCACACGGUGGAUUGAGCCUUUCAACAUUGUUUGGUCUGAUUUAAAGAAAGAAUAAAUAUUUCCCACUUUAUUCUUUGAUUUUGUGU